ACGGUCUGAUGACGUCUCACAAUCAGAGUGGCUCCGUAGAAGGAAACCCACUGCCCUGGAGAUCAGGGAAGUAUAUACCCCACCCCACACCCCUCUGACUCUGGUCUCACAAACCUUCACUCGUUCCAGGAAAGGCUACCCUUUAACUGGAGCUGCAGGACUGUGAACUUCACCUUGGACCCCCAACACAUGGAACAUGAAAGCUUAAAUUUCCUGUAACAAUAGCUCAGCUUUCUACAUAGCUUCACCUUUAAAACACACCCACCUGCAUUAUUAAUUCAGGAAGACCUACAUCUGCUUAGUAAAGUUAACAAGGACCUAUAAUAUUAUCCACACAUUUUUCGGAAACAAAAAUUGAAACAUAGGGUGGACUAAAGGGCUUUUCUCUGGAAAACAAUAUAUAUAAAGCAACAUAAGUUAAUUUGUAGCAACUUACAUAUUUAAAAAUCAUUUUUUUAAAAAGAAAAUAUAGAAGCCUGUGAAGAAAUUCCUAGAAAUAAUGGUCAACUUAAUUAUGAACAUGAGAAGCUUAAAAUCUCUCUUAACAAAAGGCUAGAGAAAGAAGCUAUGUUCAAGGACUGAGAAGAAAGGAGAUAAGGAAAGGUGUUACAGGCAGGGUAAGUGAUGGUCAAUAACAUAAAAUCUGUUCAUUUAAGCUGAGCAGUCUGUACAUAUGAAAGUAACUAAGCUGUGCCCACAAUGCACAAAGACAGUUUAGUGUUCCCGAGACCAAGUGCAUGGAAUGUUUCUUCUGAAAUGUCAGCUCUACUCCUCUGGGAAACAGGAAACCAUGUUAAUGUCAUAACAUCCAUUCAAUGAGCAUAUGUUCCUCAGAGGCCGGUGAGAGAGCAAGCCACAGCUUUGGGCCUAUUCUGGCAGUUGCCUGCUGAGCUUCAUCGACUUCCUUUGUUCACAGGGAAGCAAUCUGCUUUCAUAAGAAUUCUUCAGCACAGAGUGCUUUGGAUUAUAUGAGACAAGAUGUCACUCUGCAGCCCACACCGAUGUGGAAGUCACGAGAAGCCCCCUACCACCACACCCAGCUGUUAUACCUUGUUAAGCAUGCGGAUAUUUUGACUUGUGGUCCCAACAGUUUUCCUUCAGAGCCUCCUACAGUGUUACCUGGUGUGGCUGCAGUUCCCACUUGUCGUAUUUUAUGUGGAAAGAAGUUUUCAUAGGCUGUUGUAUUGACCAUGUAG